GACGAACGCUGGCGGCGUGCUUAACACAUGCAAGUCGAACGGAAAGGCCCUGCUUUUGUGGGGUGCUCGAGUGGCGAACGGGUGAGUAACACGUGAGUAACCUGCCCUUGACUUUGGGAUAACUUCAGGAAACUGGGGCUAAUACCGGAUAGGAGCUCUUGCUGCAUGGUGGGGGUUGGAAAGUUUCGGCGGUUGGGGAUGGACUCGCGGCUUAUCAGCUUGUUGGUGGGGUAGUGGCUUACCAAGGCUUUGACGGGUAGCCGGCCUGAGAGGGUGACCGGCCACAUUGGGACUGAGAUACGGCCCAGACUCCUACGGGAGGCAGCAGUGGGGAAUAUUGCACAAUAGGCGGAAGCCAGAUGCAACAGCGCCGCGUGCGUGAUGACGGCCUUCGGGUUGUAAACCGCUUUCUCCGGUGACGAAGCGUGAGUGACGGUAAUGGGUAAAGAAGCACCGGCUAACUACGUG
rnacentral:rRNA from 1 species